GAUGAACGCUGGCGGCGUGCCUAAUACAUGCAAGUCGAGCGAACGGACGAGAAGCUUGCUUCUCUGAUGUUAGCGGCGGACGGGUGAGUAACACGUGGAUAACCUACCUAUAAGACUGGGAUAACUUCGGGAAACCGGAGCUAAUACCGGAUGAUAUUUUGAACCGCAUGGUUCAAAAGUGAAAGACGGUCUUGCUGUCACUUAUAGAUGGAUCCGCGCUGCAUUAGCUAGUUGGUAAGGUAACGGCUUACCAAGGCAACGAUGCCUAGCCGACCUGAAAGGGUGAUCGGCCACACUGGAACUGAGACACGAUCCUGACUCCUACGGGAGGCAGCAGUAGGGAAUCUUCCGCAAUGGGCGGAAGCCUGACGGAGCAACGCCGCGUUAGUGAUGAAGGUCGUCGGAUCGUAAAACUCUGUUAUUAGGGAAGAACAUAUGUGUAAGUAACUGUGCACAUCUUGACGGUACCUAAUCAGAAAGCCACGGCUAGCUACGUG
rnacentral:rRNA from 1 species